UGGGGAAUAUUGCACAAUGGGCGCAAGCCUGAUGCAGCCAUGCCGCGUGUAUGAAGAAGGCCUUCGGGUUGUAAAGUACUUUCAGUCGGGAGGAAGGUGUCAAGGUUAAUAACCUUGGCAAUUGACGUUACCGACAGAAGAAGCACCGGCUAACUCCGUGCCAGCAGCCGCGGUAAUACGGAGGGUGCAAGCGUUAAUCGGAAUUACUGGGCGUAAAGCGCACGCAGGCGGUUGAUUGAGUCAGAUGUGAAAUCCCCGGGCUUAACCCGGGAAUUGCAUCUGAUACUGGUCAGCUAGAGUCUUGUAGAGGGGGGUAGAAUUCCAUGUGUAGCGGUGAAAUGCGUAGAGAUGUGGAGGAAUACCGGUUGCGAAGGCGGCCCCCUGGACAAAGACUGACGCUCAGGUGCGAAAGCGUGGGGAGCAAACAGG
rnacentral:rRNA from 1 species